CUUUAUGUAACCAUCAUAAUAAUAAUAGUACUCGUAUACUAUUGUGUAUUCGUCUUUUCAAAUACAUACCUGCAGUGUAUUAUUAUUGCUUAGAUGUAGCCAGCAAAAUAAUAAUCGACGUAACUGUUUUACUGUAAUAUUUAGGCGAUCUAUUAAUUAUCGCGUUAGUGUCGGAAUAUACGGCAAAUAGAUUUGUUUUUUGCCGUCGGAACCGUGCGCACGCACGUGCGUAUGAUGUGAUGUGCCAUUAUUAAAAACGGUAGACAUUAAGUUUGAGCUAAUUGAAAUAAAUUCAAAAAAAAAAAAAAAAACACGUCGUUAAAAUUAAAUAAUUUUUCGAUCGCGUUUGAGUGUCCGCUGCAAACGGACAUUAUUAAUUAUUAUUAAUUACCAUCGCCGUUGCUGUUUCCGAACAAACGAUAUUUUAGCAAUUGACCAGCCGACACGGGCAUUGACAACAUGCGCAGUGCAGUUGAAAAACAAUUUUUAAACGACCGGCCAAGUUUUAAAUUUUAACGUUCGAUUUUGUCACCUUAACUUAUUAUUAUUAUUAUUAUUUUGUACUGUUCCCCAGUAAUGUCCGCGGAAUUCCGCGUUAAUUGACAUUCCCGAAACCCAACCCUGUAAUAAUAGUAUACGCGUAAACACGUCGAUCAAUUUUUUUUUUUUCGAAGUUUCAAGUUUCGUCAAGUUUUUCGAAAUAUGGGCUUCCUGUGAGCAUUUUUUUCAACGCCUAUAUCGCGGCGUUGUAAAAUUUCCCGAAAGAUGAAUCUACACCGCCCGAGUUUAUCGGUUCCGAAUCAACUCGAUUACCCGUAAUGUUCUGUUGAUACAAACGCCCAUUGGCUUUCAACAUCGUUAACCGUCGCCGACUCGUUUGCCGCGCGUAUGGAACUGAGCCCCGCCGAGUCACCGCACACGUUCCACAGUCGCCGGACUCGCCCAGUCCGGGGAUCGAUUUGUCCGCAUCGUGUGCACAAAUGGCGGGGCCGAAAUGGUCGUCUCGUUGAAUAAAAUCACAAUAUUGUUUUUACCGAUAUUGCGAUAAUAAUAUUGUACGUCAACGCAAUAGUAGUAAUAAUAUCCGUGCGGUAACGUUUGUCAACGGGCGACUAUAUCGCUGGACACUUUUGACCGGAUCGAACGGAAAUACCUAAUCGCAUUUACCGGAAUAUCAGCCGUGAUAGCGUUUCGUCCGUGUGGAUUAUUUUUCGGGCAGAAAAAAAAAUCAAAAAAAAAAAAAAAUCCAUAUAAUUUCACCGAAUAGUAAUAAAUCGUUGUCUAACGCCGGAAAUCGAUAUAUCGCCGCGGUGCGCCCUUUAACGACACACGGGUAAUAUUAAAAUUAUUAUUAUUGUUGUUGUAUAAUUUUUUUAAAUCCAAUUUGAAAACAAACAACAGUAAAAAACGUUCAACGAGCGAAAUGAUAUAAUGUCCGAUCGAGUGUUACGUGAUAUUAUUUUCAUAUAAAUUUUAUCGUACGCCCGUAUUACUUAAAUUGCACAUACCAUAUGCGGUCGAACGCUAUUAAUUUCUGAAAAAAAAAAAAAAAAAAAAAAAAAAAAAAAAAAGAAACCGCCAGAUGCCGGUAUACUGCAGACUCGAUUUUUCCUUUCCGUAUUUUCCGGGAGACGGUUUUUUUUUCUUUCUCGUAUUUGAAUUUCGGUAAAAAAUGUCUUUCGGUUAAAUCUGUAAGCUGCGCAAUAAUAUUUUUACUCGUAUACUAUUAUAUUAAUUAAAAGACGUCCGUUACUUCCUGCGGAGCGGCGAAUCCGGAAAUUGUUUAAAGGGGAGCGGGCGCGGGCGCAUUAUUUAUAUUUUCGGCAAAUCGACCAUACUAUACCUAUUAAAUUAAUUUAAAAUGCACGAAUACAAAGCGUAGUCCAUUGACAGGGGGGCACGUGCCCCUAUGACUAUGUACCUAUGUUAUUAUGGGUAUGCGGUUCGACAAAGCCACAGUGCACUGGUUUUUUUUUUUUUUUUUUUUCCGUUCCCAAUAAUAUUUAAUCAAAAAAUCAUUAAUCGCGAAAUAUUUUCGGAAUUAAUAACGAAAAAAUACGAAUAAUAAUAUUAAUAAUUGUAAAAAAAAAAAAAAUAUGUCAUCGAAGCGCGCGCGAUCGAGCGAUCAUAAUAGUUAUUAUACUAUGAUAAUAUUGUGUCCAGAAAAAAUAAAUAAUUUUAAAUUAUAAUUAUUAUUAAGCGUGUUUGUAGACUUAAAAAAAUAAUCGUAUUUAUAUUGUUCGUGUACGUUAAGACGGAUUGAUAUUCGUAUUAUUAUAAUAUAUUAUUUUUUAGUUCGGUGUUUCAUUCGCGUAUACUAUAUGUGUUAUGCGCGAAAACGUAAUCAAAAAUGUAUAAUCAAAAUAUUAAUUAAAACGUG